rnacentral:rRNA from 1 species
AUUGAACGCUGGCGGCGUGCUUUACACAUGCAAGUCGGACGAGUGGCGAACGGGUGAGUAACGCAUCGGAACGUCCCGAGUAAUGGGGGAUAACUGUCCGAAAGGACAGCUAAUACCGCAUAUUAUUCGAGCGGCCGAUGUCUGAUUAGCUGGUUGGCGGGGUAAAGGCCCACCAAGGCGACGAUCAGUAGCGGGUCUGAGAGGAUGAUCCGGCACACUGCGACUGAGACACGGCCCAGACGCCUACGGGAGGAAGCAGUGGGGAAUGUUGCACAAGGGGCGCAAGCCUGAUCCAGCCAUGCCGCGUGUGUGAAGAAGGCCUUCGGGUUGUAAAGGACGGUGGGCAGGGAAGCGGUACCUGAAGAAUAAGCACCGGCUAACUACGUGCCAGCAGCCGCGGUAAUAC